rnacentral:misc_RNA from 1 species
GAUGAAGAACGCAGCGAAAUGCGAUAAGUAGUGUGAAUUGCAGAAUUCAGUGAAUCAUCGAAUCUUUGAACGCACAUUGCGCCCUUUGGUAUUCCAAAGGGCAUGCCUGUUCGAGCGUCAUUUGUACCCUCAAGCUUUGCUUGGUGUUGGGCGUCUUGUCUCUAGCUUUGCUGGAGACUCGCCUUAAAGUAAUUGGCAGCCGGCCUACUGGUUUCGGAGCGCAGCACAAGUCGCACUCUCUAUCAGCAAAGGUCUAGCAUCUAUUAAGCCUUUUUUUCAACUUUUGACCUCGGAUCAGGUAGGGAUACCCGCUGAACUUAAGCAUAUCAAUAAGCGGAGGA